GACAGAGGGUGCAAGCGUUGUUCGGAAUCAUUGGGCGUAAAGGGCGCGUAGGCGGCUCGUAAAGUUGAAUGUGAAAUCCCAGGGCUCAACCCUGGAAGUGCAUUCAAAACUGGCGAGCUUGAGUCCCGGAGAGGGUGGUGGAAUUCCCAGUGUAGAAGUGAAAUUCGUAGAUAUUGGGAGGAACACCAGUGGCGAAGGCGACCACCUGGACGGAGACUGACGCUGAGGCGCGAAAGCGUGGGGAGCAAACAGG
rnacentral:misc_RNA from 1 species